CUAGUAACUGCGAGUGAAGCGGGAAAAGCUCAAAUUUAAAAUCUGGCAGUCUUUGGUUGCCCGAGUUGUAAUCUAGAGAAGUGUUACCCGCGUUGGACCGUGUACAAGUCUCCUGGAAUGGAGCGUCAUAGAGGGUGAGAAUCCCGUCUUUGACACGGACUGCCAAGGCUUUGUGGUGCGCUCUCAAAGAGUCGAGUUGUUUGGGAAUGCAGCUCAAAAUGGGUGGUAAAUGCCAUCUAAAGCUAAAUAUAGGCGAGAGACCGAUACCGAACAAGUACCGUGAGGGAAAGAUGAAAAGAACUUUGG
rnacentral:rRNA from 1 species